GACGAACGCUGGCGGCGUGCUUAACACAUGCAAGUCGAACGGAGAGGCCCUGCUUUUGGGGGGUGCUCGAGUGGCGAACGGGUGAGUAACACGUGAGUAACCUGCCCUUGACUUUGGGAUAACUUCAGGAAACUGGGGCUAAUACCGGAUAGGAGCUCCUGCUGCAUGGUGGGGGUUGGAAAGUUUCGGCGGUUGGGGAUGGACUCGCGGCUUAUCAGCUUGUUGGUGGGGUAGUGGCUUACCAAGGCUUUGACGGGUAGCCGGCCUGAGAGGGUGACCGGCCACAUUGGGACUGAGAUACGGCCCAGACUCCUACGGGAGGCAGCAGUGGGGAAUAUUGCACAAUGGGCGGAAGCCUGAUGCAGCAACGCCGCGUGCGGGAUGACGGCCUUCGGGUUGUAAACCGCUUUCGCCUGUGACGAAGCGUGAGUGACGGUAAUGGGUAAAGAAGCACCGGCUAACUACGUGCCAGCAGCCGCGGUGAUACGUAGGGUGCGAGCGUUGUCCGGAUUUAUUGGGCGUAAAGGGCUCGUAGGUGGUUGAUCGCGUCGGAAGUGUAAUCUUGGGGCUUAACCCUGAGCGUGCUUUCGAUACGGGUUGACUUGAGGAAGGUAGGGGAGAAUGGAAUUCCUGGUGGAGCGGUGGAAUGCGCAGAUAUCAGGAGGAACACCAGUGGCGAAGGCGGUUCUCUGGGCCUUUCCUGACGCUGAGGAGCGAAAGCGUGGGGAGCGAACAGGCUUAGAUACCCUGGUAGUCCACGCUGUAAACGGUGGGUACUAGGUGUGGGGUCCAUUCCACGGGUUCCGUGCCGUAGCUAACGCUUUAAGUACCCCGCCUGGGGAGUACGGCCGCAAGGCUAAAACUCAAAGGAAUUGACGGGGCCCCGCACAAGCGGCGGAGCAUGCGGAUUAAUUCGAUGCAACGCGUAGAACCUUACCUGGGUUUGACAUGGAUCGGGAGCGCUCAGAGAUGGGUGUGCCUCUUUUGGGGUCGGUUCACAGGUGGUGCAUGGCUGUCGUCAGCUCGUGUCGUGAGAUGUUGGGUUAAGUCCCGCAACGAGCGCAACCCUUGUUCACUGUUGCCAGCACGUUAUGGUGGGGACUCAGUGGAGACCGCCGGGGUCAACUCGGAGGAAGGUGGGGAUGACGUCAAGUCAUCAUGCCCCUUAUGUCCAGGGCUUCACGCAUGCUACAAUGGCUGGUACAGAGAGUGGCGAGCCUGUGAGGGUGAGCGAAUCUCGGAAAGCCGGUCUCAGUUCGGAUUGGGGUCUGCAACUCGACCUCAUGAAGUCGGAGUCGCUAGUAAUCGCAGAUCAGCAACGCUGCGGUGAAUACGUUCCCGGGGCU
rnacentral:rRNA from 1 species